GAUGAAGAACGCAGCGAACUGCGAUAAGUAGUGUGAAUUGCAGAAUUCAGUGAAUCAUCGAAUCUUUGAACGCACAUUGCGGCCAUAGGUAUUCCUUUGGCCAUGCCUGUUCGAGCGUCAUUUACACCCUCAAGCCUAGCUUGGUGUUGGGCGUCUGUCCCGCCGUUUUCGCGCGCGGACUCGCCUCAAAGUCAUUGGCGGCGGUCGUGCCGGCCCCCUCGCGCAGCACAUUUGCGCUUCUCGGAGGCCCGGCGGAUCCGCGCUCCAGCAAGACCUUUCACGACUUGACCUCGGAUCAGGUAGGGAUACCCGCUGAACUUAAGCAUAUCAAUAAGCGGAGGA
rnacentral:misc_RNA from 1 species